rnacentral:tRNA from 1 species
UAGCUCAGUGGUAGAGCGCGUGCUUAGCAUGCACAAGGUCCUGGGUUCAAGCCCCAA